UACGGGGGGGGCAAGCGUUGUUCGGAUUUACUGGGCGUAAAGGGCUCGUAGGUGGCCAACUAAGUCAGACGUGAAAUCCCUCGGCUUAACCGGGGAACUGCGUCUGAUACUGGAUGGCUUGAGUUUGGGAGAGGGAUGCGGAAUUCCAGGUGUAGCGGUGAAAUGCGUAGAUAUCUGGAGGAACACCGGUGGCGAAGGCGGCAUCCUGGGCCGACACUGACGCUGAGGAGCGAAAGCCAGGGGAGCAAACGGG
rnacentral:rRNA from 1 species